CGAGUAAGUCGGACAGCCGCGGGGGAAAGCCGAAAGGUUUCCCGUGAGGAAAGUCCGGGCUCCACAGGGCAAGGAUAACGGGUAACGCCCGCCGAAGGCGACUUCAGGACAAGUGCAACAGAGAUAUACCACCGUCUCCGGUGUUACGGAGGCGGUAAGGGUGGAAAAGUGAGGUAAGAGCUCACUCAUCGGCUGGAGACAGUCCGGUGCUGUAAACUCUAUCCGGAGCAACACCGUGGAGAGAGCCGUACUUGAGUGUACAGGUUGGCCCGACCGCUCUCAGGAGGUGGCUUGAGCCCAUUGGCAACGAUGGGCCUAGAUAGAUGGCUGUCUAAGACAGAAUCCGGCUUACAGACUUACUCGCAAC
rnacentral:RNase_P_RNA from 1 species